rnacentral:rRNA from 1 species
UACGAAGGGGGCGAGCGUUGUUCGGAUUUACUGGGCGUAAAGGGCGCGCAGGCGGCCAUUAUUUGUCGAGUGUGAAAGCCCCGGGCUUAACCUGGGAACUGCGCUCGAAACGGGAUGGCUAGAGAUCGGGAGAGGAGCGUGGAAUUCCCAGUGUAGAGGUGAAAUGCGUAGAUAUUGGGAAGAACACCGGUGGCGAAGGCGGCGCUCUGGACCGAGACUGACGCUGAGGCGCGAAAGCGUGGGGAGCAAACAGG